AUGAGCUAGAUAUAUGUAGAAGAAUAUUUGAUAUAAUUGUGUCGAUGAUUUGGUUGGGGAAAUGCAAACUAAAGAAAUUUUGCUUUUUAGUAAAUUUAAAAUAGCUUAACGAUGGGAUUCCUUUAGUGUUUUCUCCACGUAUGUGGAGG
rnacentral:sRNA from 1 species